rnacentral:rRNA from 1 species
GAUGAACGCUGGCGGCGUGCCUAACACAUGCAAGUCGAACGGAAAGGCCAUGCUCUUGUGGGGUGCUCGAUUGGCGAACGGGUGAGUAACACGCGUGUAUCAUGCCCUUGUCUUUGGGAUAACUUCACGAAACUGGGGCUAUUACCGGAUAGGAGCUUCAGCAGCAUGGGGGGGGUUGGAAAGUUUCGGCGGUGGGGGAUGGACUGGCGGCUUAUCAGCUGGUUGGUGGGGUAGUGGCGUACCAAGGGUUUGAAGGGUAGCCGGCCUGAGAGGGUGACCGGCCACAUUGGGACUGAGAUACGGCGCAGACUCCUACGGGAGGCAGCAGUGGGGAAUAUUGCACAAUGGGCGGAAGCCUGAUGCAGCAACGCCGCGUGCGGGAUGACGGCCUUCGGGUUGUAAACCGCUUUCGCCUGUGACGAAGCGUGAGUGACGGUAAUGGGUAAAGAAGCACCGGCUAACUACGUG